AAUGAGAUUGGGUUGGAAAUAUUAGAGAUAAAAGGUCUACAAGUGGAUUUUAUGUUUAUUUUAGGGAGAAUUUAGUAUAGUAGACUUCUAGAAAGUAAAAUGUAGUGGCUUUAUCAUCUAUAGAAUUAGAGUACAAGGCAGUGAGUCAAGUUGGAAUUGAAAUAGCAUGGUUAAGAAGUUUGUUAAGAGAGAUACAGGUUCAUUUUUAUAGUCUAGCAGUAGUAUGGAGUGAUAAUGUAAGUUUAGGGGCUUUAGCUUCUAAUUUAGUGUUUCAUAGUUGAAUGAAACACAUAGAGAUUGAUGUGUACUUCAUAAAAGAGCAAGAGGUUGUAAGAAUAUUGGAAGUUCAAUAUGUACCCACUGAAUUUUAGGUGGCUAAUAUACUUACAAAACCAUUAUCUGUGCUAGGUUUACAAUGUUGAAAGCUAAGCUGAAUAUUGGCUUAGUUUAUAAAAUAGAAACUGAUAUUUGUCAGCAGAAAGGAUAACAAGAAGAUACAGUAGUUAUCGCUCAAGGAGGAUUUGCAACUGAGCUAGGUAGUAUUAGCGAGUGAAACGCUCAGAGGUGUGUUAAAAUUUCAGCUAAUAUGACUGAUGUGCUCGCUUUCAUUUCUAGUUCUUUGUCUCUUUCUUUUAUGGCUUUUUUUUUUUUUUGACGAUGUCAUGUCUGUUGGUGAUAUGGAAAGUUUCAAUGGUAAGUGAACAGUAACUAGGAAUGUCUUAAAGAUGUUGUGACUUUACAAAAGAAUUAAAGUUGUGGGAGGAUAGUCAUAAAGUAGUUUGGGUAAGGAAAGGCGAAUUCUAGAGCUUCUAGGCACAAAGCAACUUGGCUUUCUUUGACUAAAAGGGGAUCUAGGGUUAUGAUUCUUUUCUUCACUUUGGUGUGAUUUGGACAAUGGUGAUACUACAAAUCGAGGUAAUUAUUAAUGAGGGCAUUUAUGGUGAGUUUUGGUUAAGAUGUUAUUGUCAAUUGUAAAUUGAAUGAUGUAUAUUGCUUGUGACAACCUAAAAGUAAUUACAUGUUCUUGUAUAUAAACUUGUUUUUUACACAAUUAUUGGUUGUGUUUAGUGUGCUAUUGAAUGAAAUUUCUGAGGUAUUUUUUUCUCA